rnacentral:tRNA from 2 species
GCCUUCGUGGUGUAGUGGUCUGCACGCCGGGUUGUGGUCCCGGAGGUGUCGGUUCGAUCCCGAUCGAGGGCC